GAUGAACGCUGGCGGCGUGCCUAAUACAUGCAAGUCGAACGAAACUUCUUUAUCACCGAGUGCUUGCACUCACCGAUAAAGAGUUGAGUGGCGAACGGGUGAGUAACACGUGGGCAACCUGCCCAAAAGAGGGGGAUAACACUUGGAAACAGGUGCUAAUACCGCAUAACCAUAGUUACCGCAUGGUAACUAUGUAAAAGGUGGCUAUACUACCGCUUUUGGAUGGGCCCGCGGCGCAUUAGCUAGUUGGUAGGGUAAAGGCUUACCAAGGCAAUGAUGCGUAGCCGAAUUGAGAGGUUGAUCGGCCACAUUGGGACUGAGACACGGCCCAAACUCCUACGGGAGGCAGCAGUAGGGAAUCUUCCACAAUGGGCGAAAGCCUGAUGGAGCAACGCCGCGUGGGUGAAGAAGGUCUUCGGAUCGUAAAACCCUGUUGUUAGAGAAGAAAGUGCGUGAGAGUAACUGUUCACGUUUCGACGGUACCUAACCAGAAAGCCACUGCUAACUACGUG
rnacentral:rRNA from 1 species